rnacentral:rRNA from 1 species
AUGUUGAGUUGGGUCUGGCAGAUCCUACGCGGUGAGGGAGGCCUAUGGCUUCAGCUCAUCCGCGCAAAAUACCUUAGUGAGCCCCUCCUAGCAUGCUCACGGACAGGAGGAUCAUAGUUUUGGCACUCCAUCCAGCGGAUUAAGGAGGAAAUCCGCCUAGGGAUUUCCUUCUCCAUAGGUAAUGGGGACGGGACCCAAUUCUGGCGGGAACCCUGGUUGGGUACCUAGCCGCUGCGCGUGAGUUUCCUUGGGUUGUUCUCAAUCUGCACGGACUCGUCCGCUCUUGUCUCCUCGGCGCUCCGCGCUGGACAGUGCAAUAUCCACUUAUGUCGUACUUUUGGGCAAGCGGAGAGUGACGAUUGGUCUGGACUUCGGGCUGCCUUAUCACUGGUGCUUUCGGAAUAUUUAGACACUGUGUCAUGGAGGGUCACCCCGACGGCGGAGUUUUUGGUGAGCAUGGCCUACCAUGCCCUAUGCUAG